GACGAACGCUGGCGGCGUGCCUAAUACAUGCAAGUCGAACGAACUCUGGUAUUGAUUGGUGCUUGCAUCAUGAUUUACAUUUGAGUGAGUGGCGAACUGGUGAGUAACACGUGGGAAACCUGCCCAGAAGCGGGGGAUAACACCUGGAAACAGAUGCUAAUACCGCAUAACAACUUGGACCGCAUGGUCCGAGCUUGAAAGAUGGCUUCGGCUAUCACUUUUGGAUGGUCCCGCGGCGUAUUAGCUAGAUGGUGGGGUAACGGCUCACCAUGGCAAUGAUACGUAGCCGACCUGAGAGGGUAAUCGGCCACAUUGGGACUGAGACACGGCCCAAACUCCUACGGGAGGCAGCAGUAGGGAAUCUUCCACAAUGGACGAAAGUCUGAUGGAGCAACGCCGCGUGAGUGAAGAAGGGUUUCGGCUCGUAAAACUCUGUUGUUAAAGAAGAACAUAUCUGAGAGUAACUGUUCAGGUAUUGACGGUAUUUAACCAGAAAGCCACGGCUAACUACGUGCCAGCAGCCGCGGUAAUACGUAGGUGGCAAGCGUUGUCCGGAUUUAUUGGGCGUAAAGCGAGCGCAGGCGGUUUUUUAAGUCUGAUGUGAAAGCCUUCGGCUCAACCGAAGAAGUGCAUCGGAAACUGGGAAACUUGAGUGCAGAAGAGGACAGUGGAACUCCCAUGUGUAGCGGUGAAAUGCGUAGAUAUAUGGAAGAACACCAGUGGCGAAGGCGGCUGUCUGGUCUGUAACUGACGCUGAGGCUCGAAAGUAUGGGUAGCAAACAGGAUUAGAUACCCUGGUAGUCCAUACCGUAAACGAUGAAUGCUAAGUGUUGGAGGGUUUCCGCCCUUCAGUGCUGCAGCUAACGCAUUAAGCAUUCCGCCUGGGGAGUACGGCCGCAAGGCUGAAACUCAAAGGAAUUGACGGGGGCCCGCACAAGCGGUGGAGCAUGUGGUUUAAUUCGAAGCUACGCGAAGAACCUUACCAGGUCUUGACAUACUAUGCAAAUCUAAGAGAUUAGACGUUCCCUUCGGGGACAUGGAUACAGGUGGUGCAUGGUUGUCGUCAGCUCGUGUCGUGAGAUGUUGGGUUAAGUCCCGCAACGAGCGCAACCCUUAUUAUCAGUUGCCAGCAUUAAGUUGGGCACUCUGGUGAGACUGCCGGUGACAAACCGGAGGAAGGUGGGGAUGACGUCAAAUCAUCAUGCCCCUUAUGACCUGGGCUACACACGUGCUACAAUGGAUGGUACAACGAGUUGCGAACUCGCGAGAGUAAGCUAAUCUCUUAAAGCCAUUCUCAGUUCGGAUUGUAGGCUGCAACUCGCCUACAUGAAGUCGGAAUCGCUAGUAAUCGCGGAUCAGCAUGCCGCGGUGAAUACGUUCCCGGGCCUUGUACACACCGCCCGUCACACCAUGAGAGUUUGUAACACCCAAAGUCGGUGGGGUAACCUUUUAGGAACCAGCCGCCUAAGGUGGGACAGAUGAUUAGGGUG
rnacentral:rRNA from 1 species